AGAGGCCCCCACAGAGCAAAUACCUAACCCUGGGGUCGCAGCUUUAGCGCAGGGAGGUGGCGUGACUUGCACGGAGCCAGGAGCCAAACGCAGGCAGCGCGACUCCCGGUUGGGCUGGCUCGCUGGUCACCUGGGAGCCGGCCCACGGGGCGGUUGUAUUUGGCACGGAGGAGGCUGCGUGGGCGGCCGGCUGCACUGGGUGGACGUUGGGGAGCUGAUGUGACCCAGGCUGAAACUCCUCCGCAUCAGAUCCAGGAGAAUGAGGUGCGCUGCUCUCAGGGUCCUGCGUGCAGGAAAACCAAGGGGCAAAGGGAGUAGUAUGGUGUAAUGCUGAGCUCCAAAUGCUAUUGGAUUUGGGGCGGGGGGUAAAGCUGUGUAGUGACUGUAUUUUUAUGUCAUCGUGCUCUGGGGAGUAGAGAGCUCGGCAGUGCUGCUGGGAGAGGAGGCAAGGGGGGAUGUGUUUGAGUUUUUGAAAAAAAGCCCUCAGUUUGAGAAAGCAAAGCAGGGGCAGAUAACUACAAGAAAUGGCUGUCCUGAAGAAGUGAAGCUUUUAUUGGAGCAGCUCUCUGUUUUGUAUCCGGAUGAACAUGCUGAGAGGACAACACGAUCAGAAGCCUUUGGAAGCCAAGCGCUCGGAGAUGGCUGCCCGGCAUCUGUCCGUAUUAGUUGUGAAAUGGGGAAGAUUGUGACCCAGAAGUAUGAAAUUUGGCAGCGUGUGCUGCGAGGAGGCGCCACGGCUGCUGCUGAGCCCCUCCAUAGCCCAUGCUGGAACAUCUGGUCCAUCUCACGACGGAAGGUCAGCGUGAACCAGGCAACCGGGUCUGAUCCUGACUACUGCACGAGUGCCUAGACUGUGGGGGCUGAACAGCUGCCUCUGGUGUCCUGAGCCCGGGGCUGGGAGGCUGCAUAGCUCGAGAUGCUCCUGGGGAAAGAGCUCAGCUUGUGAGGUCGCGCUGGGAGGCGCAGCCUGCAGUCUGUUCUCUGAAAGCCCGCAGAGUGGCAGUGUGAGCAUCGGUGCAUACGAGCUUGGGACACCAACCACGCCACUGGCACAUCGAUAGCGGGUGGCUUUUCCAAGACUCAUUUAUCAAGGCCACAAAGCAAGCUGUCGGUGUGAGGAGGCGCAUGCAUACCUUCUUCCAUCCCAUGUAAUCUCUCCCCGCUAGGCUGCGUGGCGGUGAUGUCCCCUUGAGCUGGGACACCUCUCAAAGUUGUUCCUUGAGGCAGAGAGACCUUUUACUGACAACAGAUCUUUGCUAACUUGCUACCGCGGCUCGUUGUGGUCUGGGCAGGAUGCUCCAGGAUAUUGGGGGUUUAACCUUCGGGAGACUGAGAUGGUGUCCCUGGACUGACUUCGCUCUGAACCUGACCUGUUUCUUUCUGGGUGCCUCGGUAAAGGUAUUUUGCAGGUAGAUGCAUGUUCACUUUGCCUGUGUUCCGAGACAUUUGGACAGGAACCAGGCCUGAACUGGCACCACGUAGCAGCGGUGAACUCAGUUAAGAGGUGGGAUCCUUUAGUGCUGACUUGGCACUCAGUUAACAGCCACAGGACUUCCAGUUGGCUCGGGCAUAGGCAUAGCGCAUGCAUAGACGUGACACAGGCUGCAUCUUGAGCUUCUUCAAGUUUUGUGGCAAUUCGGCUCCAAAUCCAAACGUGUGAACUCUGAUGACGACCUGCUGGGCCAGGACCAGGACAUGUGCUCAGCUCUCCUCCCACCUAUCCGUGAACCCUUCCUGCUGGGCGAGGGAGGGAUGGGCAGCCUUGGCAGCCUUCGCGGUGUGAGCUGUGAUCGCUUUGGGUGAAAUGCAGUAAUUGGAGAGGGACCGACGCUUAAGGCUCCUGGCAGCUAUUGCCAGCCCUGCGCUGUUUCCUCAGGUGAGGAAACGUCAUCUCUGUGAAACACUUUUGCUGGGGUGAAGCCUUCUGCGUGCCUGUGUGAGGUCAUCUGCUGUAAUAGUAAUGUCUCGGGUGUUUUCUCAUUACAAAGGUGGUUCUGAAGUAUUGUCCUGUCUUAGAGAAGGAAACAGAGGGGCUGAGAAGAUUGCCCGAGGCUAUUUGACAAGGCAGCACAGGCUGGCGUAGGAGCUGUCUCUUCUCCAAGGGAGGCUAUUCAGAUCCUGUAUGGACAAGACUCUCUUCUCCCUCAUCGUGUCUCCUGUUGUCUCUAUCUCAUGCUUUCCUUCAGUCAUGGUGUAAGCAGGUUAUUGCAGCUCGCCUGCAGGAAUACAUCUGAAAUGAAGCAAAGGACAUCUCUGCUCCUUCCCUGCCUCUGCCCCAGCCCCGAUGACCGUGGCUGUAGUUGUGCUGUGGAACACGCGGCCCCUCCAAAGCACCUCUGGUAACGGAUCGAAAAUGAAGUGGAUCCCACCACCUUGACUUCAAAGGUGUCUUAAUUUGGUGUCUAAGCCAGUCUGCAGGCUUUCUAGUCCUAUCAGUCCCAUGGGGGGGGUGGAGGGGAACCCAACAAAACAAAAAACAAACCACACAAAAAAGUACAAAAGCUUGGAAAAGCAGAAGUUACAAGUUUUACUGACUACAGCUGCCCAAAGAGGUGGGGUGAGAUCGGUGCGAACUCGUGUGCAACAAGUUGGAUCGAGCAGUGAAAAAGGCACAUGGCGAGAGGUGAAGUGAUGCUUUGUUACAUUAGAUGAUGAUUAUAUAUAUACACACACAAUAUAUAUUUAUAUAUAAAAGAUGUCUCGGCUUUCUGGCGCAGAGAAAGAAGGGUGGAUGAGAACUGUUUGGGGGACAGGGGUGAGGUGGGUGUUUUUGAGAGGGAAGGAAUUCCAUUUCUGAUGGGGAGCGUUUUAAGUUUCACUCGCUUUCCUCUGCUAUCGCUUCCCAGCUCAGGCAACAUUUCUGUUCCGCAGUGUGCUUGCCCAGGGCUAUUGUAUAUGACUGUUUAAACAGUGUUUAAACAGCCGUAAGCCUGUUUAUUUACUAAGGCUAUAAAUUAUCUUGAAAUCAGAAUUCAUCAUCCUGCAAAUACUUCGUUUUAACAGGCAGGCUGGCUCUCUGCUAGAAUGACAAUAGUAAUGGACCUCCUCGCCGCUCUGCCAAGUCUCUGUCAAGGGCAAGUGUCCUUGCAUGGGCAGUUGCUGCCUUCCAGAGAUCCAGGCAGGCUCAGGGGGCUGAUUUCUCUUUGAGGGUUUAUCUGCUAGCGUAUUGGGGAAUGCAGCGGCCAGCGCGGGUCUCUGAUGGAUGAACCGUGCGUUCGAGUUAUCCUGUGCUUGCUGGGAUUUCCUCGGAAACUAAUGAUCUGUCCAGUCCAGUAUCUUCCAGGCGUUAGCAGCCUGGAAGAAAGCAUGAGAGGCUGAUAUUAAUCAAGGAAUGAGCUUUUCCUACCGGAGUUUUCUUCCUCACCCCAGCUGGUAAUAGGCAACUCUGUUUCUGAAGAGCGUGGCUCUUAAGCAACAACAAAACCAGCAGCAUCCUCUUCAGUACUACUGGGGUUGUUUCCUUGACUAUUAGCUUUUCUGAGGCCUCGGACUUAGUAAGUACCUGGAAGAAUCUGAAAACACGUAAUCAAGACAGUUCCGCUAUGCUAAGUGUAAGUUCCUUGUCAGAUGGCUUCUGUCUCAAAUGUUUGAGCUUGGAGAUUUGACCAGUCGAGAUUAAAAGCCUCUAAGGUGGCUGUGGUAAACUCAGUGGUUUUUGUUGUCCUGGCUGUUGCACAGGCUGUGGGUUUUCCUGUGGAUGCUGAGGUUUCUUCUCCCGUUAGAAGCCUCUCCUCACCUCAAGCUGCGUGCGGUCCCAGCAGUCCAGGCCCCAGAUGCUGUUGUGUGAGCUGUGUUGAUCGGGUUGACUCACUCUGGCAGGCUUGGUAGCAACUCUUAAUCAUCUGACUUACCUGUUCUGUGAUGUGUAAGCUAUCGCCUCUGCAAAAUUCUGGAACCACAAAAACUGGAGAUGGGAAAGAUCUGAGGUCAUCCAACUUCUCCACUUUCCCCCUAUGGGGGAAGGCUUGUUCCCUGCACUAGAUUUUCCUGUACAGGGUCCAGUUUUAAGUGACUCAAGCAGCAGGGUUUUCAUCGUUUCCCUUGGGAGCCUGGCUGAUUUCUCACCAUGAGAGAUGUUUUCCUAAUCUUCCACCUGAUCUGUUCCCCUCCUUGAUUCCAGCCUCGAACUGGAAGAGUGGACAGGGCAAAGCUUCAGUGGGUUAAUGCUCACUGAAUUACUUGAGGACUGAUUAACUCUUUCUGGGUCGCUUCAAUGCAUGUCCCAGAUAAAAAGGCUUUAGAAAAGAGCAUGUUAGGCUGCCGCUACGGUCAUGCUUACCUUGCAGACUGACAAGCAUUGAUAGUGUAGGUAAUGUAAGUACUGAGAGCUGAGGUUCUUUAUAGGAGUUAUAGGUUUGUGGGAGGCUUUCUUCUACAGAAUAUAAGCAUACUUGCAACUGGUGGAAACUGGGAAGACCAGCCCUGAAAUUUUGAGCUAAAUGGCAAACCAAACACGUGGAAGAGGCUGUUUUUUAGGCUUUGCUUGUGCCUAACACUUAGAAAAAUCAAGCCUCUUGACUUAACAAGCUGAGGAUUUUCCCAUGGAUCGCUUUCUUUGCUUAGCCUGUCUGUGCUGCCAACGCCAUGUAACCAGUAGCUUGACUGUAAUGCUGAAGUAAUUCUUAAAAUAUUGUCUGCUAAAUAGAUCGGUCAUGAUGGGAUCAAGCCAUUUUCCAUGAAAGACGAGUGGGAUCAGACCUUGGAUACACUGUCAAAUGGGAGCCUGCGCAAGAAGGGGGAAAUAAACGUUUAAAGCGUGGCCAUGCAAGGGACAGAAACUAGAAGCAAGUCCAAUGGUCCACCACUAAGAUAAUUCCAGAAAUAUUUAGGGCAGGGUGGAAAGUUGGAAGCGGUUAAGAGGUCUGCGGUAGGGUAGUAAAUCAUGCGAUGGGAAGCUUUGUUUUUUUGUCGAGGCUCGCUUGGGAAACCGUUUCAUGUUUCAUGAAACGAGCAUUGGGGUCUUCAGCCCUUAUUCUCCCCCCUGGUUUGACCAGGCAUAGGGAGCGAUGCUGCAUUUUCACCUCUGCAAGGAAAUGGAGGGUGGUUCGUGAGUCUGCGCUCCCCUCACGGCCCUGCACCACGCACCGGUCCCGCUAACCUCUGGGUGCAAAGGGAGGAACCGCUGCUUCUGCGGGGAAGAGAGGUUUCUCUGCCCUGACGAGCGCCGUGGCCAUGCUGCGGGGGCAAAGCCAAAGGACAUGACUAAUGGAAUGUUUGAUAGUGCAGCGCGCACCGCUGAGAUCACCCUUCUGGCAAGUGCCUGCUGUGGUAUGAGACCCAGUCAUCUGGCAGCACGUUGCUUACUGCAGUCUCCAAGGCAACCCUCCAUGCUGUUCUUCUCUGGAACCUCUGCUUAUUCGUAAAGAAGCUGUCAUCCUUCUUACUGUAAGUGCAGCAGAUGUGAAAGGUUUUACCUGUGCCAAUGAACUCUAGACCAGGACACCCUUGCUCUACGGGGCGAUGGCGCCUCGGGCAUAGCGCUUCCCACUGAAAGAGCCUGUCCGUCUGCUCGUUGUGUCACCAAAUGUCUGUCUCUCCUGCCAGUUACCCUCUCUGCGUGCUCUCCGAGCCUGUGGCUGCGUCUGCAGCCAGCUCUGCUUGCACGAAGAGGAGACUGGGCUGCCGUGAGGAUCGCUGGAGAUCUCUGCUGAGGCAGGGCUGUGCAGCGCCGGCCACAGCAAGGAUUCAUUCCAGAUGAUGGAUCCCAAGGUGGAUUUACCAGUCCUGCAGUUGUUUGUAGCACUAGAACAUUGAUGCUCCUCGUAAGGAAACAACUGAGCUGCGGCUCAGGCUGUCGUGUCCCAUAGUGGCUUCUCUGGAGCAGAAGCUGCCGGUUGCGUUGCUCUGGAGGAGCAGCCAUGCUCUCUGUCGUAGAUGUUUAACCAGGCAAUUACCUGCCUCCAGUGUCCCCUAAAGAAGUUCUUUGACCUGCUCUAAGAGAGGCUGUAACUCGGGUAGUGCGGAUGCCUUGUCUUCCGACUAGCCCUGAAGGACGCUCAGCACUGAAUAGAAACGAGCUCCGUCAGUGUGAUGCUGACCGCUGCCAAAACUCCGUCUGGAACUGCAAGGCUUGAAGUCUCUCUUCUCUCUCCGGUGGCUUACUGAGAGGCUGCUCUUACGUCGCCUUUUCAGGUUCAUCUAUUGGUAAUACAGAAACUGGGGUCUGGUGUUUUCUUCUUGCUGAGGGGGUUGUACUUUGGGGUGAGAAAGGGAGGAGAAAAACUCCCUGUUUCCUCCAGAAAGACACCCCCCACUAGACUGUAUAUGGACCCAAGAGCAUAUCUAUCAAGUUUCGCCUGCUUAAAAAUGGGUAUUUAAUGUGCCUUCUUGAUAUUAGGGUCAUCGGUGUGUGGUAAGAGACUCCAAUCUCGGAGGGAGACAAAGCCACUGUCUCAGAGCAGCUGAAACGCCCGACAGCUGGACUUAAAUGAGGUGAUGGUAAGAGAUGGCUUAGCCAAAGCAUCUCGUGUUCCCCGUGGGUGACGGUGUGCUCCUGAACUCUGAAAGCUGCUGUCAUUCUCAUCCCGCACUGUGAGCCUUGGAAGGGAAAGGGCUGGAUUAGGUGCAAGCUCUGGUUCGCUGCGCAGGUGGUUUGCUUGUCUGCUCCCUGUCGAGGGGCAUUCCUGCUGCCUUUCUGCCCAAGUCUGUGCUCCCAAGCCCGGGCAGACCCUCCACCCAGCACACCCCAGGCCCUGCUCUGCUCUACCGGCCCUGGCUUUCUCCUGAGGUGUCUGCCAACUGCGCCAGACAGCCGGGCUGCGGCGUGUGCUCGGUCAGGCGCUCCCCAGGAACUCCGCGGCGGCUGCCGUGUCUGCAAAUAGUGUCAC